UAUACAUCAUUAAAGAGCCGUCGUGGCUGAGAUUUAGCUAGGCUGGCAAAGGGGGAAAUGGCCAUCCUCUUCAACUUCCUCAAGCCUCUUCUUCUCCUCCUCCUUACUCUUUCAGAUUUAUUUGGCAGUACCCUCAGCCUUGGAAUUGGAAUUAACUAUGGCCAAAUUGCCAAUAAUUUGCCAACACCGUCGCGAGUUUCCUAUCUCCUCAGAUCUAUCAAUGUUACGAGAGUAAAACUUUAUGACGCUGAUCCAAACGUGUUAAGCGCAUUUGCUAACACGGAUGUGGAAUUCGUUAUUGGACUUGGGAAUGAGUACCUACAAAGAAUGACUGAUCCUCAACAAGCUCAGGCUUGGAUUCAAUCGCAUGUUCAACCUUACCAUACUCAGACUAAAAUCACUUGUAUUACUGUUGGGAACGAGAUCUUAACGGGGAACGAUACACAGAUGAUGAAUAACCUCCUCCCGGCAAUGCAAGGUGUAUAUCGGGCUCUUGUUAAUCUUGGCCUUAGCAAUGAUAUAUAUGUGGCACACGCCCACUCGGCUGGGAUCUUGGGCAACUCUUUUCCGCCUUCCUCUGGUUCAUUUCGACAAGAUCUUGCUGAAUACAUUCAUGGCAUUCUCAAUUUCCAUGCCCAGACCAAGUCCCCGUUCCUUAUAAAUGCCUAUCCAUUCUUUGCAUACAAAGACAGCCCCGAUCAAGUCCCGCUUGAUUAUGUACUUUUCCGGCCUAAUGCUGGUACGAUUGACCCAAUCACAAAUUUAAAGUAUGACAACAUGUUAUAUGCACAAAUUGAUGCAGUUCAUUCAGCGAUUAAGGCAAUGGGCUACUCAGACAUUCAAGUUAAGGUUUCUGAGACAGGGUGGCCAUCGAAGGGCGACCCAAAUGAGUUUGGAGCAACACCUGAAAAUGCUGCACAAUAUAAUGGUAACUUGUUUCGGCGUAUACAGCAAAAUCAAGGAACUCCAGCAAAUCCAUCUGAGCCCAUUGAUAUAUAUGUGUUUGCGCUCUUUAAUGAAAAUUUAAAGCCUGGUCCAGCAUCAGAGCGGAAUUAUGGCCUCUACUAUCCCGAUGGAACUCCAGUUUAUAACAUCGGGUUACAAGGAUUUCUUCCGCGUAUGGAUUAUUCAGCUGCCAAGAAAAAAGCCUUGUCUGUUUCUGCUUUUCUUCUGCUUGUUCUGGUUUUCUUGAUACACUUCUGAAAGUUGUACAAUAGAUCAAAUAUGGAGAUACAAGUAGAUUAGAGAUUAUUCAAUUUUGUCAAGAACUUUUGCUGAUAGAUAGGUAUUAAAGGUCGAGAGGGGGGUCGGGCAUAAAAGGAAAAAAAAAUAUCCCUUUAGAUAUUUAUUUUGGUUUUCUUGUAGAUAAAAGUAUGUGCUUAUAAAGAACUGAUCUGGCAUGAUGGAAAUUUUUGGUUGGCAAAUUCUUGAAAAGGUGUAACACAGUAGGAUUCUUUUAGCAGCAAAGUUGGCUGCGUGACUUUAAACAUGAUGGAGCCCAUUUGUAAUCUUUUCUUACAUCAGCAAUGGCUUAAUAUGAGUAGAUAAACUUGACAAAUGGAAGAAUCCACUUUGGCAUUUUCCACAUACUGCCUUUGCUAUAUUCCCACUGAAUUUGAUUCUCUAGUUGUUAUGGCAAACCUUCACCACAUCUAGUUAGUUUCAGAAACUAGUACUACCACUUUAUACCCUCUUUGCUACAAAGUUUUCUCUUGCUUUGCGUACCGAUCAGAAAAAGUUCUCUUGCGCUGCCAGCCUGCCCUUCACUACUGGACAUGUAUCUACUGACCGGCCCUUGGUUGUGUUCAGCGGCAGAGCUAGUAUUUGAAAUAUAUGGGUUCAGGAUUCUGGUCCUUUUAAGUUAUUAGAUUCUAAAUUAAUAAUUUAUUCAUAUUCAAUAGAUUAUUUAAGACAAAUACAGGAUUUAGACGGAAGCUACUGCAAAGAGGAAGCUCCGCCCCUUGUUGUGCUGCCGGACAUGCAGGCACUUGUCGUGAUCUUGAUAUAGAACUUGACAUAGAAACCUGAUUAGGGCAAGAAACGCUUGAUUAUGAAGGUCCUAUAUCUCUGUGUUGUUCCAUUGAUACAAAUAUUUCGACUUUGGAUAUCUUUAGACCUGCCUAGAUUCCAUCUGGGGCGGGAGAUACCCUGCGCGCGUUUAACAGAUCACUAGUGAUCGCGACAGGAAACAGCUUUGAAGCGGACAUAUUCGAUGCGUUUAAUUUUGUCUUUGACAACAACUAAUUUUCAAAUUUGGCUGUGAAACAUGCAUGGCUGCUGAAAUAUAUGUUAUUAUACUCUUCAGCAGAUAAUGAUGGUUUCUUAGUCUUGAUUCGGUUCAUGUAAUGUGUAUAUUAAUUGAAUUUUGCUU